AUGGAGUUGGACGGUAGGCUAGCCGUGACGGCCCCUGAACUCCAUGGAGAUUCCAUGGAACUUUGGGUACUGGUGGACUAUGACGACGACCAGAGCUGGUCACGCCGUUUCCGGAUCGUCCUGCCGCCGCUGUUCUAUCCACAUUGGUGGACGGGCACCGGCGUCCCCAACGUCGUUUUCGUAGCAAGCUACACACAUAAUUUCAAGGCGCUGUACCAUCUUACCGAGAAGAGGAUCGUAAAUCAGAUAGAGUAUAUCAAUGGCACAUGGGGUUACUGCUACCUCUUCAAGGAUAGCCUUGUGCCGCACUCCUUCUUGAAUCCUUAUUAA
rnacentral:rRNA from 1 species